ensembl:lncRNA
AACGGUAGCGAUGGAAAAAACGGUAGCAACGAAAGUAUCUACAACGAGCGCAGUAGCAUAAACCGCAUUGAAACAAAUAAAACACUUUUUUAUAAUUAUAUAAAUAACAUUUUAUUAUAUUAUAGUUUAAUAAAUUUCCGAGAUGACUAUUUUCUUUUAACAUUUUUUGAAUAUCUUGAACAAAUAAAAACGCAUAUAAUAUUAUUAUAUUAUGAAAUAAAUCAAAAAAUUAAUCAAUCCAUUAAAACAUGUCAUGAUAUAAAUGAAUCAUUAAACAACGAGUUUGAUCAGUUAUUAAAAGAAUACAAAGUAAAUGUUGAAAAGUGUAUGAUAAGUAAUGAUUAUUUACAAUUAUAUAAUUGCUUACCUAUAUAUAAUGAAAAAAAAAAAAUUCUAAUAGAAUUUAUAAAAAAUGUAGAUGAAAAAAAAAAGACUAUUAAUAAGAGUUGUAUUGAUCAAGUAAAUGAACUUGCAUCCUUUUUUUUUAAUUCUGUUUUAAAAAAGUCGAAAAUAGUGGAUAGCGAUAGUGAAGAUAAUGAAAAAGGAGUCGCCAAGACAGAUUCCGUAAUAAACUUACUAGAAAAAAAAAAAAAAAAAACACCAAAACUUAAGAAAAGUAAAAAAAAACAUAACCACAGUGAUAAUAAAAAUCAUUCAAAAGAUGAUAGUUCAGACGAACUAUCGAGCGAAGAAGAUGAUAAAUCACCACCAAAAGGAAUAGACGACAUAAAUAUGUUGACUACAAAUCUAAACAUAACUGAUAUGGGUAAUGUGACAAACUUAACAGAUGUGGCAGAUGUGACUGAUACGACACAAAAAGAUUCCAAAGUAGAAGACACAAUUAAGCAGCUAAUCAGUAACAAAUAUAAAUAUACAUACAUUUUUGAUAAAAUCAUGGUAUACAUUUUUAAUACGUUUAAAAGUAACGUAGAAAGUGUUUUCUCUGAUAUAGAACAUAAAAAAUAUAAAGAAUCUUUUUUAUUAAUACAACAAAAUAAAAUAAAAAAAACCGAGUACAAUAAUGGUAGUGACAGUGGUAACGAUAACAACAAGAAGAAUGGAAAAGAAAAUAAAUUUAAUGUCUCUACUUCAAUAAAAACAAACGUAAUACAAAUUAAAAAAGACAUAAAUAAAAUAAAUAACAAAAAUAAUGAAAAAAAUAAUGAAAAAAAUAUAGUUAAUUCACCUUAUCAAAGUGAUGAAAAACAAAAAGAUUGCAAAAAUGAGAAUAGUGAAAUAAUAAAUAUCAUUAACGAAACAGACAACCAAACAAAUACAACGCAACAAAUGUUCUUACAAGAUAUAAUAAAUUAUAAAAACAUACUGUUCGAUUAUAAUCAACUAAAACAGUAUUAUGAACUGAUGAUAAAAACUUUUUAUGAACAGUUUAAAAACAUGCUUUUUGUAUACUUAUUAAAAAUAUACAUGCAAAUAAAAAAAGGAGGGUAUAUAAAAGGUAAUUAUAUUUUUAGGGAACUGCAAACAGGGGAACAACCGAGUAAAAAGAAAAAAAUGGCAACCGAGACAACAACCGAGACAACAACCGAGACAAC